rnacentral:rRNA from 1 species
CAGGAUUAGAUACCNUGGUAGUCCACGCCCUAAACGAUGUCGAUUAGCUGUUGGGGCACUUGAUGCCUUAGUAGCGUAGCUAACGCGUGAAAUCGACCGCCUGGGGAGUACGGUCGCAAGAUUAAAACUCAAAGGAAUUGACGGGGACCCGCACAAGCGGUGGAUGAUGUGGAUUAAUUCGAUGCAACGCGAAGAACCUUACCUGGUCUUGACAUGUACGGAACCUUCCAGAGACGGAAGGGUGCCUUCGGGAGCCGUAACACAGGUGCUGCAUGGCUGUCGUCAGCUCGUGUCGUGAGAUGUUGGGUUAAGUCCCGCAACGAGCGCAACCCUUGUCAUUAGUUGCCAUCAUUUGGUUGGGCACUCUAAUGAGACUGCCGGUGACAAACCGGAGGAAGGUGGGGAUGACGUCAAGUCCUCAUGGCCCUUAUGACCAGGGCUUCACACGUCAUACAAUGGUCGGUACAGAGGGUAGCCAAGCCGCGAGGCGGAGCCAAUCCCAGAAAACCGAUCGUGGUCCGGAUUGCACUCUGCAACUCGAGUGCAUGAAGUCGGAAUCGCUAGUAAUCGCAGGUCAGCAUACUGCGGUGAAUACGUUCCCGGGUCUUGUACACACCGCCCGUCACACCAUGGGAGUGGGGGAUACCAGAAGCAGGUA